CAAAUUGCCCAAUCCCGACACGGGGAGGUAGUGACAAUAAAUACUGAUACAGGGCUCUUUUGGGUCUUGUAAUUGGAAUGAGUACAAUUUAAAUCCCUUAACGAGGAACAAUUGGAGGGCAAGUCUGGUGCCAGCAGCCGCGGUAAUUCCAGCUCCAAUAGCGUAUAUUAAAGUUGUUGCAGUUAAAAAGCUCGUAGUUGAACCUUGGGCCUGGCUGGCCGGUCCGCCUCACCGCGUGUACUGGUCCGGCCGGGCCUUUCCUUCUGGGGAGCCGCAUGCCCUUCACUGGGCGUGUUGGGGAACCAGGACUUUUACUUUGAAAAAAUUAGAGUGUUCAAAGCAGGCCUUUGCUCGAAUACAUUAGCAUGGAAUAAUAGAAUAGGACGUGCGGUUCUAUUUUGUUGGUUUCUAGGACCGCCGUAAUGAUUAAUAGGGAUAGUCGGGGGCAUCAGUAUUCAAUUGUCAGAGGUGAAAUUCUUGGAUUUAUUGAAGACUAACUACUGCGAAAGCAUUUGCCAAGGAUGUUUUCAUUAAUCAGUGAACGAAAGUUAGGGGAUCGAAGACGAUCAGAUACCGUCGUAGUCUUAACCAUAAACUAUGCCGACUAGGGAUCGGGCGAUGUUAUCAUUUUGACUCGCUCGGCACCUUAUGAGAAAUCAAAGUUUUUGGGUUCCGGGGGGAGUAUGGUCGCAAGGCUGAAACUUAAAGGAAUUGACGGAAGGGCACCACCAGGAGUGGAGCCUG
rnacentral:rRNA from 1 species